rnacentral:rRNA from 1 species
GCUCAGGAUGAACGCUAGCUACAGGCUUAACACAUGCAAGUCGAGGGGUAGCAGGGUAGCAAUACCGCUGACGACCGGCGCACGGGUGAGUAACACGUAUCCAACCUUCCCAUAACUCAGGGAUAGCCUUUCGAAAGAAAGAUUAAUACCUGAUGGUACCUUUUCUGGGCAUCCAGUUUAGGUUAAAGAUUUAUCGGUUAUGGAUGGGGAUGCGUUCCAUUAGAUUGUUGGUGAGGUAACGGCUCACCAAGUCUUCGAUGGAUAGGGGUUCUGAGAGGAAGGUCCCCCACAUUGGUACUGAGACACGGACCAAACUCCUACGGGAGGCAGCAGUGAGGAAUAUUGGUCAAUGGGCGAGAGCCUGAACCAGCCAA